rnacentral:rRNA from 1 species
ACGGAAGGCAGCAGUGGGGGAUAUUGCACAAUGGGCGCAAGCCUGAUGCAGCGACGCCGCGUGAGUGAAGAAGUAUUUCGGUAUGUAAAGCUCUAUCAGCAGGGAAGAAAAUGACGGUACCUGACUAAGAAGCUCCGGCUAAAUACGUGCCAGCAGCCGCGGUAAUACGUAUGGAGCAAGCGUUAUCCGGAUUUACUGGGUGUAAAGGGAGCGUAGGCGGCGUAGCAAGUCAGAUGUGAAACCCCGGGGCUUAACCUCGGGACUGCAUUUGAAACUGCAGUGCUAGAGUGCGGGAGAGGUAAGCGGAAUUCCUAGUGUAGCGGUGAAAUGCGUAGAUAUUAGGAAGAACACCAGUGGCGAAGGCGGCUUACUGGACCGUAACUGACGCUGAGGCUCGAAAGCGUGGGGAGCAAACAGGAUUAGAUACCCUGGUA